rnacentral:rRNA from 1 species
GAUGAACGCUGGCGGCGUGCUUAACACAUGCAAGUCGAACGGAAAGGCCCAAGCUUGCUUGGGUACUCGAGUGGCGAACGGGUGAGUAACACGUGGGUGAUCUGCCCUGCACUUCGGGAUAAGCCUGGGAAACUGGGUCUAAUACCGGAUAGGACGAUGGUUUGGAUGCCAUUGUGGAAAGUUUUUUCGGUGUGGGAUGAGCUCGCGGCCUAUCAGCUUGUUGGUGGGGUAAUGGCCUACCAAGGCGUCGACGGGUAGCCGGCCUGAGAGGGUGUACGGCCACAUUGGGCCUGAGAUACGGCCCAGACUCCUACGGGAGGCAGCAAUGGGGAAUAUUGCACAAUGGGCGCAAGCCUGAUGCAGCGACGCCGCGUGGGGGAUGACGGCCUUCGGGUUGUAAACUCCUUUCGCUAGGGACGAAGCGUUUUUGUGACGGUACCUGGAGAAGAAGCACCGGCUAACUACGUG